GCUCAAAUUUGAAAUCCCCCCGGGGAGUUGUAAUUUGAAGAUUGCGUCUUGGAGGCGACCGUGUCUAUGUUCCUUGGAACAGGACGUCACAGAGGGUGAGAAUCCCGUGCGGCACGGCCCCCGGCUCCUUAUAAGGCGCUCUCGACGAGUCGAGUUGUUUGGGAAUGCAGCUCAAAGUGGGUGGUAAAUUCCAUCUAAAGCUAAAUACAGGCGAGAGACCGAUAGCGAACAAGUACAGUGAUGGAAAGAUGAAAAGCACUUUGAAAAGAGAGUGAAACAGCACGUGAAAUUGUUGAAAGGGAAGGGCAUGCCGUCAGAUUGUCAGUGUGGGUAAGAAGCGGGGUACAAAGACUGUGGAACGUGGCCCUCGGGUGUUAUAGCCGCAGUUCAUGCCCCGUCUCUUUCCGAGGCCUGCUUUGAGGACACCGACGUAAUGACGGUACGCCGCCCGUCUUGAAC
rnacentral:rRNA from 1 species